GGUGCACGUGUGUGCGGAAAACAUGGCUACGUUACAGUUUGAUUACAGAGUUAGCUUUGUUCAUUUGUGGCUCUGCCCAUCAUGAAAGACAUCAGAAGGAGUUACAGUGUCACAUCCGUUCGUGGGCCAUUGGUUGACGUGUUUUUCUCGUCUUCACGAAGCUAUUCAGCUAGAAUAACGAAUCGAAAAUCGGAGGUCAGAUGUCUGAUGGGUCAAUAAGUGGACCAAGCUUUGAGCAGAUGUAUUUAAAGAUGCUUGUUUUACUCUGCAAUCUGGCUGUUGGAUGGACCAGAUGGGAGAGCGUUUCGCUGAUUUUUACAGAAGAAGAGACGUGCUUCUGUGUUCAUUAAGUCGAACCAGAGAACGCUGUAAACGCAUUUCUAGAAAAGAUUGCGACUUUCUCACAAGAAAAUGGAGGAAGAAACAAAAUGGGGGGAAACCAUUUGACUCUUGAGCAGAGCUGUGCACAAGAAAACUGCCUAUUGAAGUAUCAGAUCAUAAGCAACUGGAACACGAAGCCAAUGCGAUGGAAAACACUUUAUCCUUGGCAAGUCAAGAACUUAACUUCCGCAAAAGUUUUUCGCUGAGACUCGAAAAACAUUUCCGGCAGAAGUUGACGAAGAUACCAGUUUGCAAGCAUUUAGUCAAUUAUGGGAUGCCAAUUGAUAUCGAAGAGCGUAUCAAGAAAAAUUCUGAUUUUGUCGUAGUUACCCAGCUAAGUAUCUUUAUUGCCUCUGUUUUUCUUGGAGACUCGAAAGAAAUGUUCCUGCAGAAACCAGUUCGAAAGCCUAUGGUCAAUUAUGGAUGCCAAUUGAUAUCGAAGGGCGUAUCCACUCAGCUAAGUAUCUGUAUUGCCUCUGCAAGUUUUUUUUUUUUUUUUUUUUUGCAAAGUCUUUUCGUAGGAAACCCCUUUUCAAAACUCUUCAAUUUUCCCGCCGAAAAACUUAGAUAAAUACGGUGCUUCCAUAUACGCAUGCGCCGGAUUUUUUCUUUUUGGCUGGUGUUCAUUAUUUGUAGUCAUUUAUUAUUUCUUAGCUCAAUAAAAGGUAUUGUUCAAACACUGGUCUAUUUGUGUCAAAUUCUUUAUUGCCUUCAUGUCUUUUCUUCAUACAAUGUGUAAACAAGUAUUCUAAGUAUUUCUUCAAAAAUAUACUAAGUUUUUUGGCGGGAAAAUUUGGACCAAUUUGCACAGAGUUUCCGUGACCACAUUUCUUCGCAAAAAUUGAUAAGACUCGUCUUUAAAAUUUUUCCCGCCAAAAUGACUGCUUCGCCAUCUCAAACAAAAGUUUCAAUUUUGCCAAACAUUGUUUUUUAACUCAAAGAAAUUACCUUUUCCGCGAUGCAAUUACUUUCCAGAGUUGGAUUUUGCUUAAGAUGUUGUUAGGUAUAUAACGUGUAGUUGAAAGAGGCAAGAUGACAAACUUUUCCGAGAUUAGCCAAACCUAUCAGUUUAAUUGCCAAUUAUUUUAUCCAAUUUCUCAGAGGUAAGCCGUUUUUUUAUUUUUUGCCGAAUUUUGCGAAGGUAAACUCUUUGGUUUCUAAAAAUUUUCUGCUUAUUUGUUUUCUGAUUUUAUCAAAGUGAAUUGUCUUUGACUUUCAAUAAUUUUAUUGGAACUGUGAAGUUUGCCAUGUUGCCCUUUAAAACAUGCUGAAUAUAAAAAUUUCUAAGACCAUUGCUGUUUAACAGAAAUAUUAUUAAGGGCAAAAAUGUUUUCCAAAUCGGUUUUUUGUUCAUACUUAUUCCUUUCCCCGAGUAUUUUCAUUGUUAAAUGUUCAAGAGAAUUCGUUCCGAAUAUGAUUUCUACCUUAAUCUUCAUGUUGACAAAUGUUCAAGACAUUCGGUCGGAAUUUAGCUAGUCCCUUUCAAAUUUUUAGAGCGUUUUGUAUUUUUUAAGGUUUUCGAUCUAUUUUUGGUAACUUUUGCCCUUUUGAUUUCUUGUUGAAACAGCAAAGCUUAACUCUUCAACUCUAAAUAUUGAACGAUAAAAAUUCAGAGACUGUUAUCGACCACAGAAAGCAUAGUAAAACCCUAGGUUGCAUCGUAAUCUUUUAACCUCAAACGUUUUGUUUACAGAGUGUUUGACGUCUUGACUAUCGCUACAUGAAGCUGUGAAACGAUAUUCGAUAAAUCACAGAUAUGUAUUCAACGACCGACCAAAACAAUUUUAUUUAGAAAAUGUAAGAGGGAUCUUUUCGUGACUUUUCAAAGAUUCAGCAAAUUCUCACCAUAGGAAUUAAUUUGACAAAAUCUGAAUUAAUCCACAAUUGAAAAUUAAGGUAACGGCUCACUUGUUAUGGCCUAUCAAACUUGAAAUGGCGACUAUUUGAUUCUCUCGGUUUAUAAAUCAGAUAAAAGCCUUUAGUGCAGUUCUCUUCGGUCGACAGUAUUAUAAAUGGAA